rnacentral:lncRNA from 10 species
CCCUCUGGGAGGCGGCUGAAACCCGGUGAGAAUUCGAGCGUGGCGCGGGUGGGCCAGCAGUGUUUGGGGACCCGGAGCACUCUCCACAGCUGCUGGUCCAGGUGCUAAGUCCCUCACUGCCCAGCACCUGCAGCGCCGACCGGCCGCUCUUGAGUGCGGGGCCUGCAGAGCCCACGCCCACCCGGAACUCGCGCUGGCCCGUGAGCGCCGUGCCGCAGCCCCGGUUCCCGCCCGCGCCUCUCCCUCCACACUUCGCCGCAAGCAGAGGGAGCCGGCUCCGGCCUCAGCUGGCCCAGAGAGGGGCUCCCUCAGUGCAGUGGCGAGCUGAAGGGCUCCUCAAGGGCGGCUGGAGUGGACGCUGAGGCCGAGGAGACGCCAAGAGCAAACGAGGGCUGCUAGUACAUUGUCACCUCUCACUGGUAACUACAGUUGCUGUCAGUUUAACUGAAAGACAGGACAGAUUCUUAUGACCUGAAACAGCACCUCAACUCUUACCUUGGAUAUUUCUACAUGAAGAAUCUGCUCUGAAAC